ensembl:lncRNA
UGGCCCAACGCCAUUAGUGCCCUCUGUACAUACCCAGAACUGGAUGCAUUGAAGGAAAAAGAAGAGAAAGCCAUGUGGAACUCAGGUGGGCAGCAUCCAUUCUGCUGAAGACCAGAAUACAGCAAAAGGUGAAGGAAGAGCAAAUUUCCUCUCUCUUCCAGAACUGGAACAUCCGUCUUCUCCUGGACCCUCAGAUACUGACAGACCUGGUUCUCAAGCCUUCAGACUUACGUUCAGGACUUACACCACUGACUCCUCUGGUUCUCAGAUCUUUAGGCUUGGACUAGAACUAAACCACCAGUCUUCCUGGGCCUGCAGCUUGCAGACAGUAGAUCAUGGGACUUCUCAGCCUUCAUAAUUGCAUAAGUUAAUUUCUAUAAUUAAUUAACUAGUUAAUUUGUGCAUAUAUGUGUAUCCUAUUGGUUGUUUUUUAGAGAACUCUGACUAAUACAAGUAUUAUGAAGGAAGAAUUCUGAAUCUGAAAAUUGUAAAACACAAACACAUAUAAAGAAAAAAGGCUUGGCAUAGUGGCUCACACCUGUAAUCCCAGCACUUUGGGAAGCCAAGUCAGGUGAAUCACUUGAGCCCAGGAGUUCAAGACCAACCUGGGUAACAUGACAAAACAUCAUCUCUACAAAAAAUACAACAACAACAAAAAUUAGCUGGGCAUGAUGCCAUGCACUUGUAUUCCCAGCUACUUGGGAAGCUGGUAGGAAGAGGUAGGAGGAUUGAUUGAGCCUGGAAAGUUGAGGCUGCAGUGAGCUUCAACCACUGCACCACUGCAUGCCAACCUGGACAACAGAGCAAGACCUUGUUUAAAAAAGAAAAUAAAAGUAAAUAAAAAAGAAAACAAAUAUUGACCAUGAUCUCACAACCCAGAGAUAACCUUUAUUAAUAUUUUGAAGCAAUUUCUCUAGUCAUUUCCUAUACAUUGCUUUCCACAUCUGUAACCGGUGUUAUAUAUAGUUUUGACUACCUUUCUAAUUGUUCCAUUAUAAGUAUUUUUCAAUGUCACCAAAAAUGUCUUCAAAGUACUCUUUACAAUGACUACAAAAUUGCCUUUUAGAUGAAUAAACCACAAUUCACAUAUUUAUUUUAAUAACUCAUUAUUUUCUAAUCACAAAAUAAUUGUGUCCAUUUACAAAAUUAGAGAACGCAAUUAUAAAUCGCCCAUAAUCUUAUUGCUCAGAUAUAGCCACUAUUAAUAUUAUGAUAGAUUUCCUUCCAGUAUUUUUCUAUGAUUAGCUAUUAUGUACUUAAAAAUAAUUGAGGUCAUAUAUUACAAGUAUUUUC